AGGACGAACGCUGGCGGCGUGCUUAACACAUGCAAGUCGAGCGGAAAGGCCCUUCGGGGUACUCGAGCGGCGAACGGGUGAGUAACACGUGGGCAACCUGCCCUUAGCUUCGGGAUAGCUCCGGGAAACCGGAAUUAAUACCGGAUAUGACUAUGGCCGACAUCAGCCAUGGUGGAAAGUUUUUCGGCUAGGGAUGGACUCGCGGCCUAUCAGCUAGUUGGUGAGGUAACGGCUCACCAAGGCGACGACGGGUAGCCGGCCUGAGAGGGCGACCGGCCACACUGGGACUGAGACACGGCCCAGACUCCUACGGGAGGCAGCAGUGGGGAAUAUUGCGCAAUGGGCGAAAGCCUGACGCAGCGACGCCGCGUGGGGGAUGAAUGCCUUCGGUGUAACCGCUUUCAGCAGGGACGAAUUGACGGUACCUGCAGAAGAAGGCCCGGCCAACUACGCGCCAGCAGCCGC
rnacentral:rRNA from 1 species